rnacentral:misc_RNA from 1 species
GAAAUGCGAUAAGUAGUGUGAAUUGCAGAAUUCAGUGAAUCAUCGAAUCUUUGGACGCACAUUGCGCCCUUUGGUAUUCCUUAGGGCAUGCCUGUUCGAGCGUCAUCUAAACCUUCAAGCCCUGCUUGGUGUUGGGUGCCUGUCCCGCCUCCGCGCGCGGACUCACCUCAAAUCCAUUGGCGGCCCCCGCGUCGGCCACGAGCGCAGCAGAAACGCGAACUCGUGAGCCCGUCCGGGCGGCUCCCAGAAGCUACACCCACCCAGUUUGACCUCGGAUCAGGUAGGGAUACCCGCUGAACUUAAGC